rnacentral:rRNA from 1 species
UACGGAGGGGGCUAGCGUUGUUCGGAAUUACUGGGCGUAAAGCGUGCGUAGGCGGACUGGAAAGUCAGAGGUGAAAUCCCGGGGCUCAACCCCGGAACUGCCUUUGAAACUCCCAGUCUUGAGUUCGAGAGAGGUGAGUGGAAUUCCGAGUGUAGAGGUGAAAUUCGUAGAUAUUCGGAGGAACACCAGUGGCGAAGGCGGCUCACUGGCCCGAUACUGACGCUGAGGUUUGAAAGCGUGGGGAGCAAACAGG